GGGGAUUUAGCUCAGCGGCAUGAGCACCUGCCUUACAAGCAGGCAGUCGUGAGUUCGAUUCCCGGUACCG
rfam:Cavia porcellus supercont2_84 genomic scaffold, whole genome shotgun sequence.